GAUGAAGAACGCAGCGAAAUGCGAUACUUGGUGUGAAUUGCAGAAUCCCGUGAACCAUCGAGUCUUUGAACGCAAGUUGCGCCCGAAGCCUCGGCUAAGGGCACGUCUGCCUGGGCGCCACGCAUCGCGUCUCCCCCAAACCGCCAAGGCGGAGGGGAAGGAAGAUGGCUUCCCGUGCCUCACCCGGGCGCGGUUGGCCUAAAUUUGGAGCCCGCGGCACUUAGCUCUCGCGGCGAUAGGUGGUGAACAAGGCCUUGGCCGUGCAAACAACCCGCUGCGAAGCUCUAUGUCACGUGCGCUCGUCGGACCCUUUGAAGUUGCCUUUGGUGACUUAAAACCUUUGCGACCCCAGGUCAGGCGGGGCUACCCGCUGAAUUUAAGCAUAUCAAAAGCGGAGGA
rnacentral:misc_RNA from 1 species